UCCUGCCGGACCUGACUGCUAUCGGAUUGAUACUAAGCCAUGCGAGUCAUUGUAGCAAUACAAGGCAGACGGCUCAGUAACACGUAGUCAACCUACCCUAUGGACAAGAAUAAUCUCGGGAAACUGGGCAUAAUUCUUGAUAGAUCAUAAUGCCUGGAAUGGUUUAUGGUUAAAAUGAUUCGUCGCCAUAGGAUGGGACUGCGGCCUAUCAGCUUGUUGGUGAGGUAAUGGCCCACCAAGGCGAUUACAGGUACGGGCUCUGAGAGGAGAAGCCCGGAGAUGGGUACUGAGACACGGACCCAGGCCCUAUGGGGCGCAGCAGGCGAGAAAACUUUGCAAUGUGCGAAAGCACGACAAGGUUAAUCCGAGUGAUUUCUGCUAAAGAAAUCUUUUGCCAGUCAUAAAACCACUGGUGAAUAAGGGGUGGGCAAGUUCUGGUGUCAGCCGCCGCGGUAAAACCAGCACCUCAAGUGGUCAGGAUGAUUAUUGGGCCUAAAGCAUCCGUAGCCGGCUUUGUUAGUUUUCGGUUAAAUCCAUGUGCUCAACGCAUGGGCUGCCGAAAAUACUGCAUAGCUAGGGAGUGGGAGAGGUAGACGGUACUCAGUAGGAAGGGGUAAAAUCCUUUGAUCUAUUGAUGACCACCUGUGGCGAAGGCGGUCUACCAGAACACGUUCGACGGUGAGGGAUGAAAGCUGGGGGAGCAAACCGGAUUAGAUACCCGGGUAGUCCCAGCUGUAAACGAUGCAGACUCGAUGAUGCAUUGGCAUAAUAGCCAAUGCAGUGUCGCAGGGAAGCCGUUAAGUCUGCCGCCUGGGAAGUACGUACGCAAGUAUGAAACUUAAAGGAAUUGGCGGGGGAGCACCACAAGGGUGAAGCCUGCGGUUCA
rnacentral:rRNA from 1 species